AUUGAACGCUAGCGGGAUGCCUUACACAUGCAAGUCGAACGGAGUGGCGAACGGGUGAGUAAUGUAUCGGACCGUGCCCAGUAGCGGGGGAUAACUACGCGAAGGCGUAGCUAAUACCGCAUACUAUUGGCGCGGCCGAUAUCGGAUUUGCUCGUUGGUGGGGUAACGGCUAACCAAGGCGACGAUCCGUAGCUGGUUUGAGAGGACGACCAGCCACACUGGGACUGAGAAACGGCCAAGACUCCUACGGGAGGCAGCAGUGGGGAAUUUUGGACAAUGGGGGAAACCCUGAUGCAGCCAUCCCGCGUGUGCGAGGAAGGCCUUCGGGUUGUAAAGCACUUUCAGCGAGGAGGCGUUACUCGCAGAAGAAGCACCGGCUAACUCCGUGCCAGCAGCCGCGGUAAUAC
rnacentral:rRNA from 1 species